rnacentral:rRNA from 1 species
AACGAACGCUGGCGGCAUGCCUAACACAUGCAAGUCGAACGUGAUCCGGGGCUUGCUCCGGUGAAAGUGGCGGACGGGUGAGUAACGCGUGGGAACCUGCCCAGUGGUCGGGGAUAACUGCGGGAAACUGCAGCUAAUACCCGGUAAGCCCUCGAGCGUUGGCUUGGGGGGAAAGAUUGAUCGCCAUUGGAGGGGCCCGCGUCGGAUUAGGUAGUUGGUGGGGUAACGGCCUACCAAGCCUACGAUCCGUAGCUGGUCUGAGAGGAUGAUCAGCCACACUGGGACUGAGAUACGGCCCAGACUCCUACGGGAGGCAGCAGUGGGGAAUAUUGGACAAUGGGCGCAAGCCUGAUCCAGCAAUGCCGCGUGAGCG